GGGGCUGUAGCUCACCUGGCUAGAGCGCCGCGUUUGCACCGCGGAGGCAGGGGGUUCGACUCCCCCCAGCUCCACCA
rnacentral:tRNA from 1 species